AGUCCUCAUGCCCCCUCACCUGGCCUGGCACCGGAAGUGGAGCCUGCUCUAGAGUAGUGUUGCUCCGAACCAGGCCAAGGGUUUCAGUCCAUCUCUCCCACCCUUCAGUGCUACCGGUGUCUGCUGAGAAACCCCUGUGCCUGCUGCAGAGCCACUGGUAGUGUCCCUACCCCCAGUGGGGAGACCUGCCGGAGGCAGCUCUCUGACCUGGUCCACAUAUCUCUAUGGCAGCCUGGACAGUAAGGGGUAUUACGCAGGCAGGGAGCCAUCGUGGGCUCCUUCGGCAGGGAUUGAUGCAGCGUGGGGCUGGAGUGGUUGCAUGCUCCGUCCCAGAGCGGCCAGCUCCUCUGCUGCUGCCCCUGUUUCUCAUUUUCACAAAACAAGCUUUGUAACCCGGUGGCUGUGGUGAUUCUGGGCACCUGAGCAAGCCCCUGGCCUUCCAAACUAGUGGAACUGACCAUAGCUUACGUGAGCAUAUUAGCAGUCACACAAAGCUUCUCUUUCCAUAACUAGAUGCACCAGGACAAUGGAAUGUACUAGUUUUCAAAGGCCAUAUCUCCCCCUCAGAGUGGUAGGGGAUGGGGGAGAGUGUGCCUAUGUACUGUACUUUAAGGAAAUUCCCUAGUGAAGAUUCUCCAAGCUUCAGCAUGUUCCUCUAGCAGGGGAAGACAGGAGCAGGACAGAAGCUCUUUUCCCCUUCUCUCCAAGCUAUUAAAACCUUUCCAGGGUAGUUUCUUGGCUCCUUCCAUAAACUGUUCAUCUUGAGUUACAGCACCCUCCAUUCGUGCAAGCUUGAUGGCUCCAUAAAACCAGGAGGAGUAUCCAGACUGACACGAGUGUCCAUUUUGGGCAACUUCUGGGAGCCCUGCAGGGCCUACGUUAUUGACUGUGGUAGCUACCCUCAACUUGAUUGCAGAGUGGGCUCUCUCUUACUGCAAGAGGCCUGAAGAUGGAAGUGUAAAAUCUGGACUGAGAAGAUAUUGCUUGGAUUAAGAUGGAUCAUUACAUACAGGGGACCUGUUACCUCUGUAUAGAACUGAGUCUAUAGUCAAGAUAGGUUUAGCUGUGAGCCACCUAACAGAACUCUUUGGGCAAGUGAAACUUUGUUUACCCCAGCGCAACUUUGGUUUCUCUGAGAUCAAAUCAACAUGGUAAUAAUAGGCUCCUAAUUCAACACCAGUCUGAAAACUGAGGAAAUUAGGGAAUUUCCAUAGAUUACAACAGUGUAUGUACUCUCAUCUGAUUGGCAUGCAGAGCCAUGAUGAAGCUGUAACUCUGUGUGACAUUAUUAGUCACACAAAGAUCUCUUCAAAGCUACCAGAGCUUGACUGUUGCUGUUGUUGCCUUCAGGGAGAGUUGUGAGCUCAGUUAGGGAGACAGCUUGA